ensembl:snRNA U1 U1 spliceosomal RNA
AUACUUACCUGAUAGAGGUGAUACCACGAUCACGAAGGUGGUUCACCCAGGGCAAUGCUCGGCCAUUGUACUUCGGUUGUGCUGACCUUUGCGAAUUCCCCAAAUGCGGGAAUCUCGACUGCAUAAUUUCUGGUGGUGAGAGACUGCAUUUGUGCUCUCUCCUG